rnacentral:rRNA from 1 species
UCAUAAUAACUUUACGGAUCACAAUAAUUUAUUUUGUGACAUAUCAUUCAAGUUUCUGACCUAUCAGCUUUAGACGGUAGGGUAUUGGCCUACCGUGGCUAUGACGGGUAACGGGGAAUUAGGGUUCGAUUCCGGAGAGGGAGCCUGAGAAACGGCUACCACAUCUAAGGAAGGCAGCAGGCGCGCAAAUUACCCAAUCCUAAUACAGGGAGGUAGUGACAAGAAAUAACAAUACAGGACUUUACGGUUUUGUAAUUGGAAUGAGUUAAGUAUAAACCCCUUUACAAGUAUCAAUUGGAGGGCAAGUCUGGUGGCCAGCAGCCGCGGUAAUUCCAGCUCCAAUAGCGUAUAUUAAAGUUGUUGCAGUUAAAAAGCUCGUAGUUGGAUUUCUGUUAAUACCUUAUAUAUAAAAUUUUUUUUUAAAAAUU